UGAGGAAUAUUGGUCAAUGGACGCAAGUCUGAACCAGCCAUGCCGCGUGCAGGAUGACGGCUCUAUGAGUUGUAAACUGCUUUUGUACGAGGGUAAACGCAGAUACGUGUAUCUGUCUGAAAGUAUCGUACGAAUAAGGAUCGGCUAACUCCGUGCCAGCAGCCGCGGUAAUACGGAGGAUCCGAGCGUUAUCCGGAUUUAUUGGGUUUAAAGGGAGCGUAGAUGGAUGUUUAAGUCAGUUGUGAAAGUUUGCGGCUCAACCGUAAAAUUGCAGUUGAUACUGGAUAUCUUGAGUGCAGUUGAGGCAGGCGGAAUUCGUGGUGUAGCGGUGAAAUGCUUAGAUAUCACGAAGAACUCCGAUUGCGAAGGCAGCCUGCUAAGCUGCAACUGACAUUGAGGCUCGAAAGUGUGGGUAUCAAACAGGAUUAGAUACCCUGGUAGUCCACACGGUAAACGAUGAAUACUCGCUGUUUGCGAUAUACGGCAAGCGGCCAAGCGAAAGCGUUAAGUAUUCCACCUGGGGAGUACGCCGGCAACGGUGAAACUCAAAGGAAUUGACGGGGGCCCGCACAAGCGGAGGAACAUGUGGUUUAAUUCGAUGAUACGCGAGGAACCUUACCCGGGCUUAAAUUGCAGAUGAAUUACGGUGAAAGCCGUAAGCCGCAAGGCAUCUGUGAAGGUGCUGCAUGGUUGUCGUCAGCUCGUGCCGUGAGGUGUCGGCUUAAGUGCCAUAACGAGCGCAACCCUUGUUGUCAGUUACUAACAGGUCAUGCUGAGGACUCUGACAAGACUGCCAUCGUAAGAUGUGAGGAAGGUGGGGAUGACGUCAAAUCAGCACGGCCCUUACGUCCGGGGCUACACACGUGUUACAAUGGCAGGUACAGCGGGAAGCCACCUGGCGACAGGGAGCGGAACCCGAAAACCUGUCUCAGUUCGGAUUGGAGUCUGCAACCCGACUCCAUGAAGCUGGAUUCGCUAGUAAUCGCGCAUCAGCCAUGGCGCGGUGAAUACGUUCCC
rnacentral:rRNA from 1 species